rnacentral:rRNA from 1 species
AUUGAACGCUGGCGGGAGGCCUAACACAUGCAAGUCGAACGAGUGGCGGACGGGUGAGUAAUGUAUGGGAAACUGCCUGAUGGAGGGGGAUAACUACUGGAAACGGUAGCUAAUACCGCAUACCAUCGGAUGUGCCCAGAUGGGAUUAGCUAGUAGGUGGGGUAACGGCUCACCAAGGCGACGAUCCAUAGCUGGUCUGAUAGGACGACCAGCUACACUGGAACUUAGCCACGGUCCAGACUCCUACGGGAGGCAGCAGUGGGGAAUUUUGAACAAUGGGGGCAACCCUGAUGCAGCCAUCCCGCGUGUAUGAAGAAGGCCUUCGGGUUGUAAAGUACUUUUAGCGGUGAGGCGUUACCCGCAGAAGAAGCACCGGCUAACUCCGUGCCAGCAGCCGCGGUAAUUC